rnacentral:lncRNA from 1 species
UGUUCCAAAAGCCUACUCAAGGCCUUUCUUCUUAUUUUAAGGAAAAUCUUUAUGCUAAUUUUAAACUCCAAAUACUUAUGAAUGGCAGAGAUCUACAGAUUUGAUUCUGAUGUAAGAAAUGAUGGUCACCAGCCAGUUACUGCUACCACCCCACAACCCCGAGCAUACUGGACGAAUGUCUAAGCCUUGUGGUUAGUGGGGACAAUGCUGGUGGAGUCUGAAGUUGUCAUGCAGUGACUCAUGCAAGCUUAGGCAGAUUUGGUGAUAUAUGACACAGAGAUGCAAAGAAAUGUUGUAGCUGACACACACAGGCUGGCUCUGGGAGAUGCAGAAGGAGCACGUCACCCAAAAUAGAGCCAGACAAGACAUCCUUAAGGAAGGAGCAAAAGGGCUGCAUCUUAAAGAAUGUAGAAAGGAUUUGUCAUGAGAGAUGGGGCAGGAAGUUCUUGAGAGGCAGAGGGAGAGCAUGAGAAUGUUAGGAAGGGAGGAGAGAUUCUCACACAUCUGGGAAGCUGACAAUCCAUCAGCAUGGCCAGAAGGAAAAUGAGGAGGAGCAGAAAUAGAUGAGGCUGGAUAUAGAAGCAGGGCUGAAGCGGUGUUGAUUGUGGUAAAGAGUUGUGAUUCUAUCCAGAACUCAAUAGGUAGCAUUCUAAACAGAGAUCUUUUAAACAAGAGUCAGCAAGUAUUUUCUGCAAGGGGCUAAAUGUUAAAUAUUUUAAGUUUUCCAAGCCAUAUGGUCUCUCUCUCAAUGACUCAGCUCUUCCAUUAUACCAUGAAAAUAGCCAGAGACAUUAUGUAACACAUGUAUUGGCUGUGUCCCAUUACAACUUUACUUACAAACGCAGACUGUGUCAGACAUGGUCCAUGCAUGGUAGUUUGCCACACCCUGUUUUAGAAAGCUCAGGUUUAUGAUGUGAUGGAGAAUGCCUACAAGAGCUCUUGUUUUAAAUGGUAGAGUGAACAUACACUGGAAUUCUAUCCUGCUUGACCCAAGCUCUUGAUAGCGAAAGGUAGAAAAGAUAGAUGGUAAAUAGAUAGAUAGAUGAUAGAUAAAGAAAAUACAUAGCUGUUCCAGAAAACAGAAAUGGAUAACUUCAUGAACCAAAAGCAGAGUAAUAUACUUUAGAAAGGAAGCGGGCCGGAAAACCCACAGUUGCAAAACAAAUAGAAUUUCCAACUGCCUCUUGUAGCCCCUUCCUGGAAGUAGUCACAGCCCAGGGUGUUCGACUUCUUCCUCUGUUUUUUGUUUGUUUGUUGUUUGCUUUUCUGUGGGGUUUUUGUUGUUGUUGUUUGCUUUUAAAAAAAAAUUCCCUUUCCCUGCUUUUUUGUCACAGCAGCCUUUGUCACUUCAAACACCGCAAGUGUUCUUUAAAAAAAAUUAUAUCAACCUUUCAAUUAAAAUGCAACAUGUCUGAAACUUGGUAUCUGGAGAGGUGAGUUGGACAAAGGAGCCCUUGUUACUGCACGUUUUCAUUCUUCAAAUUUCACCUUGCACACAGUAACAGACAGUGCACAAAGCUACUUCCUUAUGGACGGAAAUUCUGAAAUCCUUUUAUGCCUGGCCUUUCCAUCCUUCAACUUCCCCUCUCCCACGCUGUGAAUGAUUGUAUUGGACAUUUUUGUUUUAAUGUCAGUGACAGGGGAACACAGGUAGCUCUAAUAUAGCUGUGACCCAGAUGCUUCUGUUUCUAGCAUGUAUUUAUUUUGCAGCAAACAUUUACAUCCAUGAUGUUUCACUGUCUUUUGAAAAUAAUUAGGCAAUAUCUCAUCUGAGGUAGGUUGUUUCUAGGGAUUGUGUUCUGAGGGAGGAAAACUAAUCUGUUCUCUUUCCACUGCAUUCUAGGAACAGUAAGAGGACCUUGUGCAUGAAUAAUUUGUUUCCACACUACAGAAAGAAUCCCAGACUUCUUAGAGAACCCAGUGACUUUUUGUACCUUAAAUCUGUGAAAUCCUCAUGUUUUCUUCUGCCGUAUCCAUAGUUCAAACAAAGAUGAGGCAAAGCUAGAUGCAUUCCUGAAGGAACCCAAGAAAUUCCUCUCUUUCUUUCUCUGGAAUGAAAUGAAUUCUCUAGACCACCAGUUCUAACCUUCAAAAACCAAACCUGUUUGUGAGAUCUCCUUCAAAUACUACUGUAGACCCCAGUGUUUAUUCAUUAAAUUUUUUAAAUAUUUGUUUUAUUUGGAAUC